CUACGGGUGGCUGCAGUAAGGAAUAUUGCGCAAUGGAGGCAACUCUGACGCAGCCAUGCCGCGUGCAGGAAGAAGGCCUUAUGGGUCGUAAACUGCUUUUAUUUAGGAAUAAACCCCCGAACGUGUUCGGGGCUGAAGGUACUAAACGAAUAAGCACCGGCUAACUCCGUGCCAGCAGCCGCGGUAAUACGGAGGGUGCAAGCGUUAUCCGGAUUUAUUGGGUUUAAAGGGUGCGCAGGCGGGCUAUUAAGUCAGUGGUGAAAUCCCGGGGCUCAACCCCGGAACUGCCAUUGAUACUGAUAGUCUUGAGUUUGGUUGAAGUGGGCGGAAUGUAGCAUGUAGCGGUGAAAUGCAUAGAUAUGCUACAGAACACCAAUCGCGAAGGCAGCUCACUAAGCCAAAACUGACGCUCAUGCACGAAAGCGUGGGGAUCAAACAGGAUUAGAUACCCGGGUAGUC
rnacentral:rRNA from 1 species